GAUGAAGAACGUAGCGAAAUGCGAUAAGUAAUGUGAAUUGCAGAAUUCAGUGAAUCAUCGAAUCUUUGAACGCACCUUGCACCCUUUGGCAUUCCGAAGGGUAUGCUCGUUUGAGUGUCAUUGUACUCUCACACUUCCAAUCUUUGGAUUGGGAGCGGUGGACUUGGGUGUUGCUGCUUACUGUGGCUCACCUCAAAUCGAUUCGUGCACCUCUUGGUUGGACAUAGUACGGCGUGAUAAGUGUCUUCGCCGGCACCUCAGUAGAGGGUGGCUGAUCAGGAGCUCUGUGCUUCAAACCGUCCUCGGACAACAACUGACAACUUGACCUCAAAUCGAGUAGGACUACCCGCUGAACUUAAGCAUAUCAAUAAGCGGAGG
rnacentral:misc_RNA from 1 species